CUGCAACUCGCCUACAUGAAGUCGGAGUUGCUAGUAAUCGCGGAUCAGAAUGCCGCGGUGAAUGCGUUCCCGGGUCUUGUACACACCGCCCGUCACACCAUGGAAGUUGGGGGCGCCCGAAGUUGGUCGGGAAAUAGAUUACCUAAGGCGAAACCAAUGACUGGGGUGAAGUCGUAACAAGGUAGC
rnacentral:rRNA from 1 species